rnacentral:rRNA from 1 species
GUUGAUCCUGCCAGUAGUCAUAUGCUUGUUUCAAGGAUUAAGCCAUGCAAGUGCCAGAGUAACUGUUUGUAUCAGAGGUCUGCGUACGGCUCAUUAAACGGUUUAUUAUCUACCCAGCGAAGGUGGUUUCAAAACCGCCCGAUGGAUAACUCCGCUAACUGUGGAGCUAAUACACGUAUGAAAAAGCUUGCCCUAUCAACCUCUCAAGGGGUUCGCUCCAAAGGAGGUGGGGUGGGCUGCUAUUGGCCGGUACAAAAACUAACGCCCGAUUAGGGCAGCAUUAACAGUUGAGGCAGGCCAAUCUUGCAAAAGCGCUCUUUUGGGCGCGUUGCUGGACGAAUUUACCACCUAUCAGGUAGAUGGUAGUGUAGUGGACUACCAUGCCAGUGACGGGUAACGGGGGAUUGGGGUUCGAUUCCGGAGAGGGUGCCUGAGAAAUGGCAACCAUCGCUAUGGCGAGCAGCAGGCGCGCAAAUUGCCCAAUGCCGACUCGGUGAGGCAGCGACGAAAAAUAACAACUUCACCGCCUUAUGGCAUGAAGAUUGUAAUGAUUUGUAAACACACGUACUAAGAGUAUCCAUUGGAGGACAAGUCUGGUGCCAGCACCCGCGGUAAUACCAGCUCCAAGAGCGUAUAUUAAUGUUGCUGCGGUUAAAAAGCUCGUAGUUGGACGUAAGAGCCAAGGCUGUGGUUGGGUCCGUCGGCUGGAAGCUUCGGCCGAAGGCUGUCGUGAUCUGCCACAAUAUGCCGAGGCUCUUUCAUCUUGUGGGAGUGGUUGCUUGCCGAAGCCACAGUAAAACAGAAUGUUCAAAGUAAUCGGCUUGCCGAUUGAAUGUCAAAGCAUGGAAUAACAAGGGAUCGACCACUGUGGCCUCUUUUUGUUGGUUUUCACGCCUCAGUGUGGUAACUCCGCGCAGGACUUCUCUUGGGCGUUCCUGGGUUCCUACUCAGGUCGUCCUUGUAGAGUCCUGUUGCAUUCGGGAUCAAUAGGAGCGCGGGGAGCAAUCAGUACUUCGGGGUGAGAGGUGAAAUUCAUAGACCCCCGAAAGACUAACAUCAGCGAAAGCCGUUUGCUAUCGCGCUUUCAUUAAUCAAGAACGAGAGAAAGGGGAUCGAAGAUGAUCAGAUACCGUCGUAGUCCUUUCCGUAAAUGAUGCAGACUUGGGAUCGGUCACUGUUCUUCUAGUGACAUGAUCGGCACCUCAUUCCCUGUCGAGAAAUCAAAGUCUUUGUGUUCCGGGGGGAGUAUAUUCGCAAGGCUGAAACUUAAAGGAAUUGACGGAGAACCACCACCAGACGUGGAGU